CCGCCCCGCGCUCUCUCCCGGGUGGAUUCUCCGAGGUCUCGUAUGAGGCUGAGCUGGGAGCUCUGUGACAUUGCUCCGCCGGUCCUCGGCCACGCAGAGCUCGAGAGGCCUCAUGGGGUUCAGAGCGAAAAGGGGCAGGGGUGCACGGGCAGAAGGGCUGCCGUGUGCUGCACACAUGCACACACAUGUGCACACACAUGCAUGCACACACAGACACAUGCACAUGCCCACGCAUGCCUGCAUACAUGCAUGCACACCUGCAUGCACACCUACAUACCGGGUCACACUCACACACCUACAUGUGUGCACGUCACAGACCUCCACGUAUGUACACACAAGCGUGUACACACACAAACGCAGGCACACAUCCAUUUGCACAAGCAUGCACAGAAACAUGCAUGAAACGUAGCUAUAUGUACACACGCACAAACACACACAUGUAUGCACAAACAUGCACGUGGCCCGUGUAUACCAAACACGCGUGUGGCUGCUGAGCACGUGUGCACACUGCCAGGCAGGCGUGAGUGUGCAGAGGAUGCGUGUGCACUGCUGAGCACGUGUGUGCGCACUGAGCUCAUGUCUGUACUGCCAGGCGUGUGUGUGCGUGUGUGCACACAGAGCACGUGUGUGCACCGCUGAGCACGUGUGCAUGCUGAGCACAUGUGCAUUUGCUGCAUUGCUGGGCACGUGUGUGGAUGCCUAGCACGUGUGUGCACAAACACGCACGCUGAGCGCGUGUGCACGUGUGUGCACACUGAGCACGUCUGUGCGUUGCCAGGCACACGUGUGUAUGCUGACCGUGUGUGCACAAACAUGCGUGCUGAGCACGUGUGCACCGCCAAGCAAAUGUAUGCACACCAAGCAGGUGUGUGCACGCCCAGCGCACGUCAGCACGCUUAGCACAUAUAUGCACACGUGUGUGAGGCUGAGCCCACCGCGGCCAACAUCCCAGCCUCGCUCGCAGCUCCCCCACCCUGGGGGUGUGCACACCCCCGCACAUGCAGCCCUCGAAGCACGGCGUGCCCGGCGCCAAGCACGGCGUGCGUGUGCACGCGCGUGUGCAUGCGCGUGUGCAGCGUGGGCCGGCCCCCAGCCUCCGGAGCCGCCGGCAGUGCCCGUCGUGGGACAGCCACCGAGCCGAGCGCUGCGGCCACCAUGGUCCCGCGGGGCCCCGCGUGGUGCCUGCUGCUGGGGCUCUGCGCCCUGCUCCCCCGCGCCAGCACCCAGGGGACCCCAGAAGAGGAUGCGGUGCCGGGGGUCCCCGAGCGCUGCGGCGUCACCUUCCACACCCCCAGCCCCUGCGGGCCCCCCCGGCCGCCCCCCUCGGCCUCCCGCGAGGAGCUGGAGCAUCUCCGGAGCCUCCUGCAGCAGACCAGGGCCAGCCUGCAGGACGUGGAGGCGGCGGCGGCGCUGGAGGAGCACCGGCCCCGCUACCAGGACGUGAUCGCCGAGGCGCUGCCCGCCAUCCGUGGGGCCAACCGGGAGUUCCAGGAGAGCCUGGACAACGUCCGCAGGGAGCUGGAGGCGCACGUGGCCGAGACCGAGCACCCGCAGGCGGUGGAGAAGAGGGAGAAGCUGCGGAAGGACGUCCGCGUGGUGGCCCACGUCCUGCGGCUCACCGCCCGCCUGGCCCGCGCCCUCGACGCCUCCUCGCGCCGCCUCCAGGACGAGCUCAACCAGCGCCUGCAGCGCUCGGCCGCCCGCGCUGCCGCCGGCGCCCAGCCCUAGGACGCGGGGCCGGGCUCUGCCCCUGCCCUCUGCAAGGCCUUGCUUGCUGGUAGGACCCUCUUUUGCCCCCCCAGCCAGCUCGCUCCCACCGCUUUCGGGGCGCACGGCUCCUCCGCGCGGCCCCAGGUUUGCGGAAUAAGCCGGGUGCCGGGCUGGCACCGGGAGGGACGGGAGGCUGCAGCCUGCUGUGCGCUGCCCGUAGCCCCAGCCCCAAGUCUUUAAUGCAUUUAUCCCACAGGAGCUGCGCCCUGCUGUAGCACAGCCCCGUGUGCACGGGGAGAUCCCCCCUCUGCUGCAGGCUCCUGCACCCUUGGGCCCUCCCCGAGCGUGCUUUGUCCGUGCAGCAUUUGCAGCUUGCCAGACUCGUGCGCCAGCAUCUGAGCACGUUCCCGGGGCUCCCCAGCACCCCUAAAGUGCCUUAAAAAUGAAUCCCAGCUCCUCUGGGGCUCAGCUGCAUCCCGCUGGUGACCUCCCCGCAUCGCAGCCCUCCUGGAUGCAUCCCCGCAUGGGCAGAGCCACCGCCAGCCCCCAUUAAUCCGUCGCACAGCCCCAGCCUGGUCCAGGCUCACAAGCUAAAAGACCCCGUCACAACCCGGCUGCUGGGAGCAGGAGGCUGGGGAGCAGCAGGGAUGGGGACAGGGCUGGGGACAGGGCUGGGGACAGGGUGGCUGCACAUGCGCACGCCGGGAAGCGCCGGGCAUAGCCACAAACCACCCAGCAGUAAAUCAAAGCUGGCAUCCGGAGUGCACCAAGCCCACGGGGGUUUGGGCACCAGGAAAAGUGCUGGAGGCAGAACACCCUGGCGAAUUCGGGAGCCGUGGGGGGUCUCCGGGCACGGUGUGUCCUGGCCACCCUGCCAUGCCGGCCGUGGGGUCCCUGCCGUCCCCGUACGGCCCCGGGGCUGGGCACGAGGCAGGGAUCCCCGGGGGCAGCGGCAGCGGCACGACUUCAGGCGCUGCAGGCAGUGGAAUAAAGAGGCAUUGCGCUCUGCCA
rnacentral:lncRNA from 1 species